UAAUUGACUUUAUAUUUGGUGGCGGUUCUGGUGAUUAGGGCGGUUUUAAACCGCCGGUGUCACACCUAUAUAAAAGGAAAAAUUACAAUAACCUGGCUUAUUGAAACAGACGGCUUGCUCUCAUUCCAUAGUCUUCUUCUCAGAUCUCAGAUCUUCUUUCGCAUCUCUCAGAUCUUCUUCUCAGAUCUCAGAUCUCAAAUCUCACUGGUCUGCUACACUGCUUUGCCAACUGCUCCUUCACGCCGCCGAGCUCGUUGUCGCUGCCGACGGCUCCUUAUCACCGUUGCUAUAAGAAUAAGUUACUUGAUUUUCUAUAUAGUUGCUUGAUUUUCUAUAUUAUGUGAAAUUUCUAAUGUUUUAUUAUUAUUGUUUUAUGCUGCAUGUUCACGAAUCUUCGCAGCACAGGUUAGGAUAACAUCUCUUCUUCCUUAUGAUUUUCCUUUUCUGCACUUAUAUUUGAUUUAGUGAUGUCAUAGAGGAUAAUCUGGGAAGAAGAAUGCUGUAAGAAUAAGCAAAAACAUUUAGAUUUAUUGAUGUCAUAUAUAUAGUUGGUUGUCAUUAAUUAAGGUUUAUAAUUGAUUUCUUAGGUUAACAAUAUAUUCUAAUCCAAAAUCAACAAGCUGUGAUUAAUUUAGCUUAUCUGAUUAAUUUUUUCACAUGAUUCCUUCCCGUCUACAUGCAUCACUCUUCCUAAUUUUUAUAUUUUUUAACUAAAAAAUAUGGAGCUAUGACCUGUUACUUUCCUAAGAACUUCAAUCCCUCUUCCUAAUCUUUUUGUGUCUUAGAUUUUCUGUUCUGUGUAGCUGAUAAUGAACCUCAUUUUAUGAUCUCCUUUCCGAUUGAUCAAUCCUGUAGUUGUAUCCCCCACUAUUGCUGCUGUUGGACCUUCAUUUUUCAGUUAUGGUUUCCCAAUAGUUGGUACAUGUCUUGAGAUUGGUGCAAUACAGAUAUUGGUAGUGGUUGUUUUUCCUCUUAUAAGUUGUUGAUUUCAUCUUGAAUUUUUAUAUCAUUAUUUUAUUAUUGGUUCAGAAUUCCUAUGUGUAUGUUCAUUGUAUUGUUUGUGCAUUUUGCUAACACAUGAUGCAUGUUUGCUAUUCUAAACAUGAUGCAUGUUUGCUAUUUCUGCUGCUAUUCUCAUUCACUCAGAGAGGAAGAGGGUUUAGGACUGUGGAGUGUGUCACUGCUCAUUCUGACUCUCCUGAACGAUGCAAUACCUCCAAAAUGCAGCACAAUUUGAAGUCAAUUUCAAUUUAAUAGAGUCUCCUUAAGUUGAGGAACUUGAGGAAGUUAGACAAUUGUUCAGGUAUGAUCCAUGUACGGAAAAGUAUGCAGAGAUAUACUACAAUAGACCAGAUGUUCAGAAAGCACUUCAUGCUAACACUACUGGAAUUCCUUAUAAGUGGACUGCUUGCAGUGAGGUUUUGAAUCGAAACUGGAAUGAUACAGAUGUAUCAGUGCUACCAAUUUAUAGACAAUUGAUGGCCAAUAGAAUAAGAGUUUGGGUGUUCAGGUUUGUUAGUUAAUCAGUUGAAUUUUGCUUUGCAUAUACUUUAAUUUCAUGAAUUAAUUAAAAAU